UACGAAGGGGGCUAGCGUUGCUCGGAAUUACUGGGCGUAAAGCGCGCGUAGGCGGACAUGUCAGUCAGGCGUGAAAGCCCGGGGCUCAACCCCGGAACUGCGCCCGAUACUGCGUGGCUGGAGUGCCGGAGAGGAUGGCGGAAUUUCCGGUGUAGAGGUGAAAUUCGUAGAUAUCGGAAGGAACACCAGUGGCGAAGGCGGCCAUCUGGACGGUGACUGACGCUGAGACGCGAAAGCGUGGGGAGCAAACAGG
rnacentral:rRNA from 1 species